AUGUAUGGUCUGAAAAUGUCAGCUCUUGCUGGAUUUUCUUGUAUAAAUUUGUACCCUGACAAUUCUCACCAAAACACCUGCCAAGUAUUAAUUCGUUUUCCUCCUCAGUCUUCAGACUUCACAUGCAGAAACAUAAAAGAUGAAGAACAGAGUCAUCAUAAUAAAUCAAAACCAGACAAAGUUAUAGCAGGUUUUGUACAAUGGGCCAUGGACCGCUACCAGCUAACUCUGACAAGGCUCUUAUUUGGAUUGGGCCUUAAUUUAAAUGAAUUUUUCAUAUUGAUCAAUGGGCUUCAACGAGUGAUUAACUUUGUAUUAACUUUACCAAUUGCUUAA
rnacentral:lncRNA from 1 species